GCUUUCAACUGGAACAUAAUUCUCUUGAUUAUUGGUUGGUGCUGCGACACAGUAGGGAUACAGAUAAUUGUCACUGUGCACAUGCUGCUGGAAAUGUAAAAUUAUUAUCUUUAGAGAGGUUGAGUAGGGUGUUUGAGCACGAAUGUUACGCAGCUCGGGCACGUGGAAUGUGUAGAGCACUCAUCUGUUGGCUGCCUCCCUUCCUCUGCUGGCCCGGCUCGCUGGUUCUGGGCGACACCCAGCUCCGGGAGCAUCCUGCCGGUCACUCAGUGGCGAGGAAAGGACAGCAGGGUCCUGAAGUAAGGAAAAACCCAUUCCAGAAGUGGAAGCCCAGGGGUCUGGAAAGCUGUGUUGCUCACUGCUACCACGGUGAGAGAAGCAACCUAGAAAUGGGAAACAAGAUAGAAAAACAGAAACCAAAAUCCUGAAAUCUCCACUGACAUGGACACUGAGAUCUUGUCCUCUGGAUGACAUAGCCAUCACCCUCAGGCUAACCUGCCAUCUGUGAUGAGAAGACUCCCUGAUGAAGGUAACUGGCAUAACAGCAAUUCUCUCCUAAGAUUCUUCCCAACCAGCUUUCACCUAUGCCUCCCAAAAGGAGAGAUCUCCACUUCUCUCAGAAACGCUAUCUUUUGCAGAAUCAAGUGGCUUUUAAAGUGCGUCUUUCUCUCACCCCUGGUUUGAGUGUGAAUAUGAUUGCCACCAUCUUGGAUCCGAUGGAAGACACAGCACCUUGAGGAAAGUUGAACAAGAGAGAUUGCUGCUACUGUGGAUCUUCAAUGCCAGCUCCUUACUUCUUAUAUUUGGACAGGGACGUGAUUAAAU
rnacentral:lncRNA from 1 species